GGGUUGAGUUCGGUCGGUGGCAGCUAUUCCUUCUCUUUUUGUCCACCAUAAAGUCCUCUGUUGUCGGAAUCUCGGUGAUGCACGACGUGAAUUUUUUCAAAUGGCGUCGUUUCUGGUCGCUCGCUGUUUCCGUAGGCUUCAGAAACCCUUCCGCUUUUCCUCUUCCUCUUCAUCCUCGCUCUAUCUUUGUCCCUCCUUAAAUUCCUUGUCCUCUUCGCCUAUCCCAACACCAAACCUUGAUCCUAACCUGAAACGUAAUUAUUGUAAUCCGUUUAGGCAGUACUACCGGGUCAAUCCCAUUUUUGAAUUCUCCCGUGAGAACUUCAAACUCAAUUGGGAUUUUAUAUCAGUUGCGCAUAUUUCGACGAGUGUGAGGGAGAGCGAGGAGGAUAAGGGAGGGUCGAGACCGUUGAAGGCGGAGGUGUCUUGGAUUGACUUGUACUUGCCAAAACAAGCUCGCCCUUAUGCUCGUCUUGCUCGCCUCGAUAAGCCCAUUGGGACCUGGUUACUCGCUUGGCCUUGCAUGUGGUCAAUUACCUUGGCCACAUCCCCAGGACAGCUUCCUGAUUUUAAGAUGUUGACGCUGUUUGGUUGUGGAGCUUUGCUUCUAAGGGGUGCUGGAUGUACCAUAAACGAUCUUCUUGAUCGAGAUAUUGAUAUAAUGGUGGAACGUACAAAGUUGCGACCAAUUGCAAGUGGUCUUUUGUCACCAUUUCAAGGACUUUGUUUUCUUGGGUUUCAAUUGCUUUUGGGCCUUGGAAUUCUUCUUCAGUUGGAUAAUUAUAGCCGUAUUUUGGGGGCUUCAUCCCUGUUGCUAGUCUUCUCCUAUCCCCUUAUGAAGAGGUUUACAUUUUGGCCUCAAGCCUAUCUAGGUCUCACCUUUAACUGGGGUGCUUUAUUAGGGUGGGCUGCAAUUAAAGGAAGUCUAGAACCAGCUAUAGUGUUCCCAUUAUACAUUUCUGGAGUAUUUUGGACUCUUGUGUAUGACACAAUAUAUGCACAUCAGGAUAAAGAAGAUGACUUGAAAGUGGGUGUUAAAUCUACGGCUUUGAGAUUUGGGGAUUCAACAAAGGGGUGGAUUACCGGCUUUGGAAUUGCAUGCAUCAGUAGCCUCACCCUCAGUGGAUUUAAUGCUGGGAUUGGGUGGCCAUAUUAUGCAUUUUUGGCAGCUGCGUCUGGACAAUUGGCUUGGCAGAUAUGGACGGUGGACCUCUCAUCCCGUGCUGAUUGCAACAGGAAAUUUGUGUCCAACAAGUGGUUCGGUGCUAUUCUUUUCAGUGGGAUCUUAUUUGGAAGAGUUUUGUCAUAAUGGGAAUGAAGGCUUCAAGAUCAAAUGAAUGGCCGAAGAUAAGCACGCAUGUGUACAAUGAGGUGCUCAAGGUGUUGAAUGGUUUCCUCAUGCAGUGGGAUUGCAGUACAUUUGAUGUUGCUGAUGUUACGUUGUCCGGAGAAGGUUCUUUGCGAAAAUUAGGAAUAAAGGGUGGAAUAUUAAAGGCCCCUAUUUUUGUUUCUGGUAACUGAGGGAGAUAAUUUGCUUCUGUGAGAAACAUAGGCAGGUGCUAAAGUGAAUUAUUUUUUUGGAGUCCAGCUUUGGAAGCCCUUUGUCGUUGUAGGUGGUUAGAGAGAGCAUUCAUUUCACAGGCGAGAGGUAGGAUCAGUCUGAUCCUUUAUUUUUAAGGUAUCGAUAGUAGUACAGCUACUAGUAAUUUUUUACAGAAAACGUAGCUAAAAAGGAAAAAAAGUUCUGAACAUCAUUAUUAUUUCUAAUGUAUAGUUAUUGAUGUGUACUACCAAUGUGUACCAACGACUCAAGUUGCUUGUAGGAGGUUUAAUUUAACAAUCCUCCACUUAUUUAUUCUUUAGAGAUCAGUAAAGUAAAGUAUUAUUCCAGCA